rnacentral:rRNA from 1 species
AGGUUGUGGCCUUGAGCCGUGGCUUUCGGAGCUAACGCGUUAAGUAGACCGCCUGGGGAGUACGGUCGCAAGAUUAAAACUCAAAUGAAUUGACGGGGGCCCGCACAAGCGGUGGAGCAUGUGGUUUAAUUCGAUGCAACGCGAAGAACCUUACCUACUCUUGACAUCCAGAGAAGCCAGCGGAGACGCAGGUGUGCCUUCGGGAGCUCUGAGACAGGUGCUGCAUGGCUGUCGUCAGCUCGUGUCGUGAGAUGUUGGGU